rnacentral:lncRNA from 1 species
CGGGUGAAGCGCGGCAACCGCGUCUGGCAGAUCGGCUUCGGGUCGGGCUUCAAGUGCAACAGCGCCGUGUGGCGCGCGCUCCGCGACGUGCCGCCCGUGUCGCCCCCGCACGCCGGCGCCGCUGCGCCUGGACCGGAGAAGAAGGCGGCCUGCAACCCGUGGGUGGACUGCGUCGCCAAGUACCCGCCCAAGGCGUACGUCUGAUGAUCAUUACGCCGCCGCCGCUGCUGCUGCAUAACUCCACACGAAGAUUACAUGAUUCUUUUCUCCCCACCGCAGUGUAAAACAUCACAAGUGCGGUGGGGAGAUUAUAUACUCCUACUAUACUUUUUCUGUAUUUCCUUUCCCGUAGGGUGGCUGUAAUUCAGGUUCCAUGGGCGAGCAGUGCCGUUGUUUUCAGCUUUUCUACUUCAAGUGUGAAUUACUAUAAACGACAAUACUCCUCCUUAUAUAUAUACGACG